CCUGACUCUCCGAGUGGCCUUAGGCGCCAGCCGACCCUUCCCGAGUCUGGAAGGCCCCGGUGCUGGGAGCAGAGGUCUUAGAUGGCGCGAGGAUUACGAAGAUGUCUUUCAUCAUGACCCUGCCCUUGCCUAGAUUUCCUGGGCUGUUUCACCUCACUCAGCUUCAGGUACCUUCCGGAUGCGAGGGAAAAGGCAGAGUUGUAUUCGUAAAGAAGGGGGUGAAAGGCACAACUGGCUGUGGCCGAGAGGUCCCCGGGCCUACCACAUACCGAAAGUCCCCCUACGCGCCACUAAACUCAGCUCCCAGCAAAGAGCUACUGUCAGGCGGGCGUGAGAGACCCUGAGAA